UACAGAGGGUGCGAGCGUUAAUCGGAAUUACUGGGCGUAAAGCGCACGUAGGUGGCGACGUAAGUCGGGUGUGAAAGCCCCGGGCUCAACCUGGGAAUUGCAUUCGAGACUGCAUUGCUGGAGUACGGAAGAGGAGGGUGGAAUUCCUGGUGUAGCGGUGAAAUGCGUAGAUAUCGUGAGGAACACCAGAGGCGAAGGCGGCUACCUGGACAAUUGCUGACGCUCAGGCACGAAAGCGUGGGGAGCAAAAGGG
rnacentral:rRNA from 1 species